AUGACAUGAAUAAAAAGAUUAACUUCUAUAGAAAUUUUUUAAAGGUAUUUCAAAGGUAUUUCUUGAUCUCCAUUACGACACAGACGACGGCUUCGAAGUUUUUCAAUUCCAGCUCUAUUCCCUCUCUUCCGUUCCACCUCAUCAACAAAAGAUUUUCGGAGCCGAACAAGAUACUCCAGUGGUCAAUGACUCUGAUCUCGUCGCCAUUUCUGACAAACUACGACUAGUCUCGGUCAACGACUCCGAACCGGAACCAAGCGCUGCCGAUUUGUUGAAAUCCGAUGAGGAAUUGGCCAGACUCUUGCAGGCAGAGGAGGAAGCGCUAAUGUUGCAGUAGUAUGUGGCAAGCCAAAAUCCUCGAGAAUUUGAUAGUGGAGUACGGCCCUACUAGUCAAGUCCUCAUGUUGCAGCAGUAUGGGCUAUAUUUUUUUGCGGAAUAUGAUAUUAAAUGCAUAAUUGACUUUCAUGCUGUUCUUGGUUCCCAGAAUGGGAUGGAGCAUAGUGCAAGCAGAGAUGGAUUUACAGGCUAGCCAACUUCUCCUAAUUACAUUUCCGACUCAUUAUAUGUUAUUGAAUUUUUAGUUUCUAGGUAUGUUUUAAAUGCGCAAACAUAUUCUAAGAUUGUUCGUAUCAUCUAAUAUCUAAUAACUAAUUCUUCUAAAUGCGCACACAUCUUAACUAUGGUUUUUCCUUCUACAAUGCAACCUAUUCAAACUAUUGAAAUAUAAUUCUUUUGAUAUAAAGGUGGAUGAAUUGGACAAAGCAAUUUUUAUAGCCUCUAAAGAUCCUUCUUUGUAUGGCAUUGAUGAAGUGGAGGUUAAAAACCAGAGGAAGUGGACCAGUGAUACUCGCACCCAGGUGAGCACAACAAAGAAAGCAGUGCAACCUGAAAAAGGCUUAAACAAUGCUAGUCUAAAUGGGAUGCACAAGGAAUUAAUGAGGCUUCCUAGAAUGAUUGAUAUCAAAAAGUGUUGUAGAAUGAUUGAGCUUACUCAAGGCUGUUACGACAUGACAUGUUGGCUUACUAAACAGAAAGUGCUAAGCAAAGGGACUUGCAGACAAGUGGAUGAGGACUGUAAGUUGAAUCACGGUUAUAUGAUAACAUUAAUGUUUUCCGGAACCCAAAUUUCAUGAAAGUUUUGCAUUUUUUUUUUAAAUUAACUUAGUCAUCAUCAGUUAUCACAAAUUUCUUUUGUUGCUUCAAUCUUAACUAUCCAUGUGUUUUACUGAUGUGUUUGUUCAUUAGUUAUUACCACAUAAGGUUCAUGAAUAACUUUAUCUUUGGAAUUCACUGAACAAGCAGCUUGAGCUCAAUUUUUGGUGGCAUCUUUGUGUUGCCUAAGGAAAUUGCUAUAUAUGCUUCCACUCUAGGGAUAACACAAAUUCAAGCACACCAAAGAUCACCUUUGUUCUAGGAGAUGUGGAUUUGAAGACAUUAUUGGCUCUUUUGGCUUUCAUGGUGUGCUACUCUUGGUUUUGCUAAUCCUUUUCCAAAGAUUCCUUUUUUUUAUAUUAUCUAUUCUCACUGAGUCACCUACUGCUAUGUAAAUGUGUAUUAUUUACUGCUAAUUUAUUCCAUUCUCCUUUACCCGUUACUUUUCUACUUUUCUCCCUUUCUUUAGUUUGGGGCUUUUCCUUUAAAAUAGUGGAGUAAAAGAAAACAUCUUUCCAGGUGUUGGAAAACUUGGUAGAAAAUUCAUUGCCUUAUCUCAGGUAUAGCUAUAAAAAGUACAGGGUUCGGUAAGCCUUUUCAUCCCUUGGACAUGGACUAUGCUGGGUUUAUUUUGUUAACCAUGUUACCUGUUACCAAUAUACAAUAGCUAAUUUAUCUUUUAUUUCUCAAGACACAAGAAGAAUGAGAAAGGAGAAGCAAGAGAAAAGUUCCAAUUUACUUCUAGAGUACAAAAAGAAUACCUGAAGCCCCUCUUACUCUGCUAGCAUUGGUGAGGAGCUUGAAGAUGGGCUAUUUGAUGAUUUCUUAGAAUUGGCAUUGCAGUUUGGAAUGAUUUUGAUGUUUGCUUGCGCAUUCCCACCUGCAUUUGCUUUUGCUGCUGUGAACAACCUUAUGGAGAUCAGGACAGAUGCAUUGAAGCUGCUAGUAAUUUUGAGGCGGCAUGUUCCUCGUGCCGCUGCAACAGUAGGAGUCUGGCUUAACAUAUUUCAGUUUCUUAUACUGAUGUCUAUAUGCACCAACUGUGCUAUUUUAGCAUGGCUAUAUGAUGAGGAGGGAAAAUGGAAAAUAGAGCCUGGACUUGCAACAAUUUUAAUCAUGGAGCAUGUCCUCUUGUUGACUAAGUUUGGUUUCUCUCGCUUCUUUCCUGAGGUGAUUGUUUUGCUUCCCAAAAGUAAGUUGUUUGGGCCACAAGAGCAAAAUCUACGUUCUCAAGGUGGAAGCGGCAAUAUGGUAAUUGUUGUCCUUUGCAGACAUGGAAUUUUGUUUGAGCAUAUCAUAAUUGUCCUUACCCAGAUUUUCAAGAGUGGACCACUUUUCAUAUCUUCCAAAGGUUUAUUGGAAUUCAAAUCCCACAUGCAUGCCUCCUUCCUUGAGAUACUCAAGAUACCUUGCAAAUUCAGACCUUGCUGUUGUUUUCUUUUUCCAUCGAAGAGCCAAGAAGCUUAGAAGUGGGUGACUCUUCUUAUCCCUAUUAUUAUCACUGACCUUCUUUGUGGGGUUUCUCUUUUGAUUGAUGUCCCCAUAGUUGGAAUCCAGAGCCAUUUUUCUUGAAGAAUUGGAUCCAUGAGAAGGCAAACUAGUGCUCCUCUUGAACCCCUCAUGCUAAAGUGCAGUAGUGGCAGAUUCUUUACCUAAUAUUUCAUACCCCCUCCAAGUAGUCAUUGAUCUAAAGGUUGGAUCUUGUUGUGUGUGAAAGACAAGAUUUUGAAUCUUUGUUGAUAUAUUGAGUGUAAUUAAAGAGGUGGAGGAAAAGGGUUGCUGGGGAUUAUAGAUGAGAUAAAUUGGAGGAUAGCACAACAUAGUGUGGGGCUUUAGAUAUGCAUCUUUGGGGUCAAGUUUGGUUAUGUAGUAGACUUUGGUCCUUCAUGUGUUUCUCAAUUAUUUACUAAUAAUGGUUACUGCACCGUGUGAUUUGGAACCAUUCAGUUUUUGCAACUUUUGUUGACUA